UCUUCAUUUCACACGCUCUCUCGCCACUCUGAUCGGUGAGACAGUGUGGGAAAUGAAGAGA
rnacentral:pre_miRNA from 1 species